rnacentral:rRNA from 1 species
AACGAACGCUGGCGGCAUGCCUAACACAUGCAAGUCGAACGAGACCUUCGGGUCUAGUGGCGCACGGGUGCGUAACGCGUGGGAACCUGCCCUUAGGUUCGGAAUAACUCCCCGAAAGGGGUGCUAAUACCGGAUAAUGUCUUCGGACCAAAGAUUUAUCGCCUUUGGAUGGGCCCGCGUUGGAUUAGCUAGUUGGUAGGGUAAAAGCCUACCAAGGCGACGAUCCAUAGCUGGUCUGAGAGGAUGAUCAGCCACACUGGGACUGAGACACGGCCCAGACUCCUACGGGAGGCAGCAGUAGGGAAUAUUGGGCAAUGGGCGAAAGCCUGAUCCAGCAAUGCCGCGUGAGUGAUGAAGGCCUUAGGGUUGUAAAGCUCUUUUACCCGGGAUGUUAAUGACAGUACCGGGAGAAUAAGCUCCGGCUAACUCCGUG